UACGUAGGGGGCUAGCGUUAUCCGGAAUUACUGGGCGUAAAGGGUGCGUAGGUGGUUUCUUAAGUCAGAGGUGAAAGGCUACGGCUCAACCGUAGUAAGCCUUUGAAACUGGGAAACUUGAGUGCGGGAGAGGAGAGUGGAAUUCCUAGUGUAGCGGUGAAAUGCGUAGAUAUUAGGAGGAACACCAGUAGCGAAGGCGGCUCUCUGGACUGUAACUGACGCUGAGGCACGAAAGCGUGGGGAGCAAACAGGAUUAGAUACCCUGGUAGUCCCUGAGCGGG
rnacentral:rRNA from 1 species